UACGUAGGGCGCAAGCGUUGUCCGGAAUUAUUGGGCGUAAAGAGCUCGUAGGCGGCUUGUCACGUCGGGUGUGAAAGCCCGGGGCUUAACCCCGGGUCUGCAUUCGAUACGGGCUGGCUAGAGUGUGGUAGGGGAGAUCGGAAUUCCUGGUGUAGCGGUGGAAUGCGCAGAUAUCAGGAGGAACACCCGUAGCGAAGGCGGCACUCUGGGCCGAUACUGACACUGAGGAGCGAAAGCGUGGGGAGCGAACAGG
rnacentral:rRNA from 1 species